CCUACGGGGGGCUGCAGUGGGGAAUAUAGGACAAUGGGGGCAACCCUGAUCCAGCCAUGCCGCGUGUGUGAAGAAGGCCCUCGGGUUGUAAAGCACUUUCAGUGAGGAAGAACGCCUGGUGGUUAAUACCCAUCAGGAAAGACAUCACUCACAGAAGAAGCACCGGCUAACUCCGUGCCAGCAGCCGCGGUAAUACGGAGGGUGCGAGCGUUAAUCGGAAUUACUGGGCGUAAAGCGCGCGUAGGUGGCUUGAUAAGCCGGUUGUGAAAGCCCCGGGCUCAACCUGGGAACGGCAUCCGGAACUGUCAAGCUAGAGUGCAGGAGAGGAAGGUAGAAUUCCCGGUGUAGCGGUGAAAUGCGUAGAGAUCGGGAGGAAUACCAGUGGCGAAGGCGGCCUUCUGGACUGACACUGACACUGAGGUGCGAAAGCGUGGGUAGCAAACAGGAUUAGAUACCCCGGUAGUC
rnacentral:rRNA from 1 species